CCAACGGGUAGUUAUGUAAUUGGGGGCGGAUAAUGGCCUCCCGUGCUUGUGUUUCGGUUGGCCUAAAUAAGAGUUCCCUUCGGCGGACGCACGACUAGUGGUGGUUGAAUAGACCCUCGUCUUGUGUUGUGUGUCGUGAGCUGUAAGGGAAGCCCUCAUUAAAGACCCCAUUGUAUCGUCACUUGACGAUGCUUCGAC
rnacentral:misc_RNA from 1 species